rnacentral:rRNA from 1 species
UACGUAGGGGGCAAGCGUUAUCCGGAAUUAUUGGGCGUAAAGAGCGCGCAGGUGGUUAAUUAAGUCUGAUGUGAAAGCCCACGGCUUAACCGUGGAGGGUCAUUGGAAACUGGUUGACUUGAGUGCAGAAGAGGGAAGUGGAAUUCCAUGUGUAGCGGUGAAAUGCGUAGAGAUAUGGAGGAACACCAGUGGCGAAGGCGGCUCUCUGGUCUGCAACUGACGCUGAGGCUCGAAAGCAUGGGUAGCGAACAGG